GGCGAGAUGGCCGAGCGGUCUAAGGCGCCAGACUAAGGCGGGUUACGACUUCAUUCAGAAUCGUAAUGGUCAAAAAUCUGGUCCGAAAGGGCGUGGGUUCGAAUCCCACUCUCGUCA